rnacentral:lncRNA from 1 species
UUUUUAUUUUGGUCUCCAAACUUUCUUUUUGCAAUCAAGUUUUUAAUUUUCUUAAUUCAUUGCGAUUAUGUCCCAACCGUUAAAAGAGGUGUUAAGAUUAACGAAAUUGCCAUAUCAGCGUCUACUUGACUUUCUUUUGCAUGUCCAUUUUGGUCCCUAAACUUUACAUACUAUUCACUUUAGUAGUCAAAAAUAAAAAGUCAAAUUCUUGAAUUUAAAUUCAGAAUUAAUAUUAAAUUUAGAAUUUUAAACUAACCGGAAAUUAGAAAUUUUAAUUUUAAUUUUAAUUGAAAUUUAAAUUUUAAAAUUGAAUUUGAAAUUGAAUCUAAAUUUUGGUUUCAAACUUAAAUUUUUUAUUUUGAU